rnacentral:lncRNA from 1 species
GCUUCGUCUGCCUCGCCUGGGAAUGUUAUCUUCUGCCCAUUCUGCAUACCUUUCUCCACGUGAACUUCCAACACCUUCUUCUCCUGCACAACCUUCUCUCCCUUACACUGUGGGCACCUAUCUUUGUCAUUAAUUGUCUCACCAGUACCCUUACACUCAUUGCAAGGGUGCUGCAUCUGCUGGAUCAUAGAUGGACCAAGCUGUCUAAUAGAAACUUUCAUCCCAGACCCUUGACAGCCAGAACACUUCAUUGAAACACCUGACUUAGACCCUUUACUGGAAAUGACAAUAUAGCACCAUCAUGAAUGCAAGACAUAGUGAAAAAUACUCACCCCUGACACACACUACAAUGACUCCAUAAAUAAAUGAAAAAUGAAGUUGAAACAUAACUAAUCAAGCUAUACACUCACCCCUUGCACUUUGUGCACAACACAUUGCGAGAUAGUGAAAGCUUCUUUGAUGUCCCAUUGUAAACAUCCUCCAACGAAACCUUGAGAGGGUGGACAACAUCCUCUCCUUUUCUUUGUCUUC